UACAGAGGGGGCAAGCGUUAUUCGGAAUUAUUGGGCGUAAAGGGCGCGUAGGCGGCGCGCUAAGUCAGGUGUGAAAUUUCGGAGCUUAACUCCGAAACUGCAUUUGAUACUGGCGUGCUUGAGGACUGGAGAGGAGACUGGAAUUCACGGUGUAGCAGUGAAAUGCGUAGAUAUCGUGAGGAAGACCAGUGGCGAAGGCGGGUCUCUGGACAGUUCCUGACACUGAGGCACGAAGGCCAGGGGAGCAAACGGG
rnacentral:rRNA from 1 species